GUGUUUGCUUCAGCAGCACAUAUAUUAAAAUUAACAAUACAGAGAAGAUUAGCAUGGCCUCUGUACAAGGGUGAUAUCUAUACAAGGAUGAUAUGAAAUUUGU
ensembl:snRNA U6 U6 spliceosomal RNA